GCCCGCCUAGCUCAAUCGGAUAGAGCGUCAGACUCUUAAUGGCGGGUCGAACACCCCUUGCCUUGGAAUCUGAAGGCUGCGAGUUCGACCCUCGCGGUGGGCU